rnacentral:rRNA from 1 species
AACGAACGCUGGCGGCAUGCCUAACACAUGCAAGUCGAACGAGACCUUCGGGUCUAUUGGCGCACGGGUGCGUAACGCGUGGGAACCUGCCCUUAGGUUCGGAAUAACUCCCCGAAAGGGGUGCUAAUACCGGAUAAUGUCUUCGGACCAAAGAUUUAUCGCCUUUGGAUGGGCCCGCGUUGGAUUAGCUAGUUGGUAGGGUAAAAGCCUACCAAGGCGACGAUCCAUAGCUGGUCUGAGAGGAUGAUCAGCCACACUGGGACUGAGACACGGCCCAGACUACUACGGGAGGCAGCAGUGGGGAAUAUUGGAAAAUGGGCGAAAGCCUGAUCCAGCAAUGCCGCGUGAGUGAUGAAGGCCUUAGGGUUGUAAAGCUCUUUUACCCGGGAUGAUAAUGACAGUACCGGGAGAAUAAGCUCCGGCUAACUCCGUG